UGGAUAUCCAUGCCGUGGCUUGAGCCAAAGAGCCAGCUAGCUCAUUGCCAGCCAGCUGGCUGCUCGGCUUCCGUUCCAUUCUGCCGAGUUUGUUGCACGCUACAUUAUUUCAACGCCUGCCGUGCCGUAUGUAUGUACUUUUUGAAAACACAAUUUUUCUCCGACAUCGCAAAGACCGCGAUAAGAACGUGUGAACUGUGAUUGCGGGCUUUCGCGGUGUUCAUCCUGCGUCAUCAGAAAGUCUCACUGUCGGCAGCACUACUGAGGCGUCAUCGCUUUCAUCUUGGGAAGACUCAAGUUGGGCCUGGAACAUCGUUAUCUACGAAAUUCCAAAAAUUGGGUCCAUACCUUAAAAGGAGCACCAACCGAAAAAGUAUGCCUUGGACUUCACAGAACUGAAUGCGCUUCCCUGCUGAAUUGCUGUGGUCAUUCCGCUUCAGGGCCGAUGUCAUCAAGUAUCCAACAACACGUGCAAGUUGGGACGUCGCUACCACCGCCAUCAGCAUGGGAGAACGAACCCCAUUAUGAUGCUACGCUUCGCCCGUCAUGCCCGGAGGACCCUUUUGGAGCACCAGCGACAUCUCGCAUGUCAGCGAGACUUCAUGAAAGGCUGAGCGUGACCCAUGCGCGCUUCACUAGGCUUGGUGGAACCAUUCGGAGCACCAUGCUAAACUGCGUGUUCUUCGUUCAACAGGUUGGUGAUAAAAGGUUCUUUAUUAAUUGCAAUAAAACUAGUUAUGUGAGGCUACUUGUGCUACUUGUGCCCUGUUGCAACUCGGGCUCGGUGGUUCUCAUCAUUGGUAGCUGGCUACCCCAUCGGACUCGUGCCUUACAACGAGGAGCAACACUUGUAUGGGAAAACAGGAUAAAGAUGUUUAUUUACAUUAAAGAGAGGUCAACA
rnacentral:lncRNA from 1 species